GAGGGGGAUGGGGGUUGAAAAAGGAGAAUAGUAGGGAAGAGCAAGAAGGUCACAAUAAGAGUCCAAAGAUUUUAGAGAACACAUGAAGAAGGAAAGAAAAGUUUAGGAAGAUCAAAGGGACUGGCGGGAAAAGGCUGCUAAAUUCGAUCACUCCAGAUGUUUUAACAAAUGGAGAAUGAAAGAAUAGUCAAGGGCUUCAGGGCUAUGGUUUCUAGAGUUUAGGGAAGGUGUGAGGCCUUCAGGUUUACAUUGAUGAUUCCAGGCUACAGGAUUGAAAGUUCAGGAUUUUUUGUUUAGUUUGUAGGAAUGUUCCGGAUCUACUGAAAAGAUGAGGAACAAGUGGAUACUAGGAGCUGUGCUGUAUUUCCUGGCCGUGACCGAAACAUGGAGUCUUGUGGAAGGAAACAACCCCAAUAGCGCUAACUAUCGCUCCACCACUUCCUCCACCUCCAACAUGCAAGGAGUGUCCAAACUCCAUGUCUACAGAAGUGAACAUUUCCGGGUAGGGAGUAAUAUAACUUUGCAGUGCAGCAACAAGACAUGGAAUGAAAUGAUCUACACCAUCUGGAAGAUACCCACCCAUGAAAAACUGUGUCAAAUAUCAUCCACUGAAGAUGGCCAAAACAUGAACACCUGCAACGAUGGCAAAGCCCUGUGCAAUACAACCAAUGGAGAGUCCUAUCUGUGCAUCCCAGAGUUCUCUGAGAGAGAUGAAGGCUCCUACUUUUGUGAAACAGUUCAUAAGGGAGGGAGCUAUGCUGCAAAGAUUGAUGUGUUGGUAACAGCUCCUCCAAUCGUUUCUGCCUGGAUAGAGAAAGAGGGCAGCAGGUAUACGGCUGUCUGUGAGGCUGUCAGAGGCAAACCUGCUGCUUCCAUCACCUGGAGGACCACAUGGAACUCCUCCUCAGCUUUGAUCACAACUAACUUCACGGAUGGAUUGCAUUCUGUGCGCAGUCGCUUGGUACUACCUGAGGGCGUUGCCAUGACAAACCUUAGCUGUGUUGUCAGUCAUCCUUCCUGGACAGAUGAGCAGACACAUGAUCCGAAUAUCGCAACAAAAGAUUAUUUUUCUGAUUCCCCCAAAUCUCAGAUCAUCGUCAUCUCUGUGGUAACCAUCAGUAUAGUCAUGGCAGUUUUUGGCAGCAUAUACUUCACUCUGAGGAACCUUCACACAAUCAGUGUUUGGGACCACCUCGUUGUUAUGAUCAGUUACCUAUGCUCUUUUGUGAAACUCUCUCUUGGAAGUCGCUUUGGAUAAAAGCGUCUGCUAAACGCAUAAAUGUAAAUGUAAUGUAAAUGUCCAUUUGGAUUUCAAGGAAUUGCUUUGUGUCCAACACCACACCGGUGGAGUCAAAAUGUUCACCGGUUGAUGAGGUGGAAGAAGUUGAGCCAUACGCUAGCUAUGUGCAGCGUGUAAACACCAUCUACAACUCUUCUGACGACUUCUUUAAAUAAAACACACAUACAUACACACACAUGCUUAACCAUACACUCCCCUUAGAUUUUGGAAGCUUAUGAAACUAUAAUUGAAUAUAAAAAAAAAACAAGGAGAGCAUCAUAGACUUGCUGAUAAAUGUAUUUUGAUCAGAGUGGAAAAGUAGUUUACAGCCUGAGAACUGAGAAAGUGAGCCCAACUGUUCUGUUCCUCCUGAGAACCCUGGACUCGAGUGUGUGAAACUACCGGUGCUAUGCUGAGGGUGUGUGGGAUGUUUUCAGACAAAUGUACGUGUCUGGUGCUAAAAUAUUCUAACACUCAUUUUUGACUGAUGACUGAGACCUUGUAAUGAUCAAGAUAUUCCUUCACAACCGGAAGUGCACAGAUGUUGAAUUCACGUUAUCUGUAAACAUUAACACGCAUACAGUAUUUAACAUACUAUGUAUACUAUACAAAUAAAUGUUAUAAAUAUAA